rnacentral:rRNA from 1 species
ACAUGCAAGUCGAGCGCGGGAAGCGGACAGAACUCUUCGGAGGGACGUUCGUGGAACGAGCGGCGGACGGGUGAGUAACACGUAGGCAACCUGCCUGUAAGACUGGGAUAACUCGCGGAAACGCGAGCUAAUACCGGAUAAUACUUAUCAUCUCCUGAUGRUAAGUUGAAAGGCGGCUUUUGCUGUCACUUACAGAUGGGCCUGCGGCGCAUUAGCUAGUUGGUGRGGUAAYGGCUCACCAAGGCGACGAUGCGUAGCCGACCUGAGAGGGUGAUCGGCCACACUGGGACUGAGACACGGCCCAGACUCCUACGGGAGGCAGCAGUAGGGAAUCUUCCGCAAUGGACGAAAGUCUGACGGAGCAACGCCGCGUGAGUGAUGAAGGUUUUCGGAUCGUAAAACUCUGUUGUCGGGGAAGAACAAGUAUGAUAGUAACUGAUCGUACCUUGACGGUACCCGACCAGAAAGCCACGGCUAACUACGUGCCAGCAGCCGCGGUAAUACGUAGGUGGCAAGCGUUGUCCGGAAUUAUUGGGCGUAAAGCGCUCGCAGGCGGUUCUUUAAGUCUGAUGUGAAAUCUUGCGGCUCAACCGUAAACGUGCAUUGGAAACUGGAGGACUUGAGUGCAGAAGAGGAGAGUGGAAUUCCACGUGUAGCGGUGAAAUGCGUAGAGAUGUGGAGGAACACCAGUGGCGAAGGCGACUCUCUGGUCUGUAACUGACGCUGAGGAGCGAAAGCGUGGGGAGCGAACAGGAUUAGAUACCCUGGUAGUCCACGCCGUAAACGAUGAGUGCUAGGUGUUAGGGGGUUUCCGCCCCUUAGUGCUGAAGUUAACGCAUUAAGCACUCCGCCUGGGGAGUACGGCCGCAAGGCUGAAACUCAAAAGAAUUGACGGGGACCCGCACAAGCGGUGGAGCAUG